GUCUUUUUGAGUUUAAUUUAAAGUCUAAUCUGCCCACUGAUAUUUAUUUAAGGGCCGCAGUAUUUUGACUGUGCAAAGGUAGCAUAAUCAUUAGUUUUUUAAUUGAAGGCUUGUAUGAAUGAUUGGACGAGAUAUAUUCUGUCUCAUAGAAAUUUAAAUAGAAUUUUAUUUUUUAGUUAAAAAGCUAAAAUAAUUUUAAAAGACGAGAAGACCCUAUAGAUCUUUAUAAUUUAUUUAUAAAUUUUUUAUGGUUUAUUUUUAAAUUUAUAAAUUUAAUUAUUUUGUUGGGGUGACAAUGAAAUUUAAUAAACUUUCAUUAAUUUAUUACAUUGAUUUAUGAUUAUUUGAUCCAAUAUUAUUGAUUAAAAAUUUAAGUUACCUUAGGGAUAACAGCGUAAUUAUUUUGGAGAGUUCUUAUCGAUAAAAUAGUUUGCGACCUCGAUGUUGGAUUAAGAUUAAUUCUGGGUGUAGCAGUUCAGUUUAUUAAGUCUGUUCGACUUUUAAUUUCUU
rnacentral:rRNA from 1 species